CGGGGUGGGCAGGUGGCAUGCAGCAGCUUUGACUAAGCUGGCUAGCUUUUCCCAAACCUGGGCAAGUUUUCCAGUCAUCGGAGAGGAGGGAGGAAGAGAACACUGUCCUGAUUUUAUAAGUGGCAGCAUGUACAUCUUCACUCCUGGAGUCAUAUUUUCUCAUCGUUAUCUAAUAAUUAUCUCAGAUUCAUUGAGUCCUGGAGGUCUGGACAAGCAAGAAGCCAUCUGUGGAUUUCUCACAUCCUUGGGAGGAAGUCUCUUGCAACAUCUAAUAUCCCAAGUCCUAGAAGACAAAAUCGGCCAGGUCUCACUGUGUCAUGCUUUCUGCCUAUAAUCCACAGCUAUUAAGGCAGUUCCACAGACCUGGGUUCCCAGAGCCAUUUUCCCAGCCUAGACAGAGGAUUAAACACAGCCCUUUUUCACCUUUUUCCCAGACAGGAGAGUACUCUGUCAUGAGGUUUUCAUCCUGUAACCCACAUUGGCAGUGCCCCCCUGCUGGAAACCAGGGCUCAAGUGGGCUAAAAUAAAGCCCAGUUGCAAGGAGACUGCAGGGUGGUUUCAAAGUACAUCGUGUGGGACUGAUGUGAGGGGACUGGGAAGCUGCAGGUCACAUUCUAGGGCUUUUUCUCUUAUUGGAGACGCUUUCCUUCUUAAAGCCUCCUCCAGUUUGGUUCUUAACACAUCAUCAUCCUCAGCGAUCCCGAAUCUUGACCCACGAUCCCAAGCUGUGGUUCUUUUUUCACAUUCCUGGAAAGGGCUUUCUAUCUGUGACUCCUUUUUUUCCAAGACGCGGGAUGAUCUUUUUCUCCUUUCAUGGAUUUCCGCUCUGAUCGGUGUUUGUCUCUCUUGCUCCCACCUGUAGCCCCGACACCUAGCCCAUGACUGAUGCUCAGAACACAUCUGGGAAAUGAAUGGAGGUCGCGUUCUGGCUUUGAACCAGCAGUGAGCUGGCAAGGUGGGACCGGGAGAGAUGGCUCAGUGCCACCCCUGGUCUGGUUUGUCCGAACUUCCUAGGUGGGCUGCAUGAUUAAACCAGGGUGUAAUUUAACCGUGGCCAGAGGAAGCCUGGACUGGGAGAGGUUUCCACGUGAAUAGCCCUUUCAGUAGCAAAUCCUAGAAACAAUGGUGUUGAACUGGGAUGUCCUGCCAGAGGCCUUUAGACUUCAGAGCUGUGGGAACAGAAGCCAGGAGAAUAACAAAGGCAAGCUUUAUCCCUUGCAAGCUAGGCAGAAGCCUACCCAGUGAAGUCAUUUCCCACUCUCUUCUCAGCCACCCUCCCUGCCCCAUUUUGAGAAAUUACUGUUCCAUGGAAUAAUUUGACUUUUAUGAACUGUAACACUGUUUAGCUCCAAACGAGACAGUCUUCCCCUCUUCUUAUUUUUACCCUUGG